rnacentral:rRNA from 1 species
CGAACGCUGGCGGCGCGUUUAAGCAUGCAAGUCGAGCGGCAAGGGCCUUCGGGCCCUAGAGCGGCGGACGGGUGAGUAACACGUGGACAAUCUGCCCCCGGCCCGGGAUAGCCCAGGGAAACCUGGAUUAAUACCGGAUGAGACGGGACCCGCGAUGGCGGGAUCCGGGAAAGGCGCUGCGGCGCCGCCGGGGGAUGAGUCUGCGUCCCAUUAGCUAGACGGCGGGGUAACGGCCCACCGUGGCGACGAUGGGUAGCCGGCCUGAGAGGGUGGACGGCCACAUUGGAACUGAGACACGGUCCAGACUCCUACGGGAGGCAGCAGCUAAGAAUCUUCCGCAAUGGGCGAAAGCCUGACGGAGCCGACGCCGCGUGAACGAAGAAGGCCGUGAGGUUGUAAAGUUCUUUUCGGGAGGGGGAACAACCGUGGCAGGGAAUGGCCGCGGGAUGACGUGAAUCCCGGAAUAAGCCCCGGCUAACUACGUGCCAGCCGCUGC